GACGAACGCUGGCGGCGUGCCUAAUACAUGCAAGUCGAACGCAGUGGGGACGGGUGAGUAACACGUGGGUAACCUCCCAUCAGAGGGGGAUAACACUUGGAAACGACUGCUAAACCGCAUCUGAAGGAGGGGAUUGCGUCUGAUUAGCUAGUUGGUGAGGUAACGGCUCACAAAGGCCACGAUGCAUAGCCGACCUGAGAGGGUGAGCGGCCACACUGGGACUGAGACACGGCCCAGACUCCUACGGGAGGCAGCAGUAGGGAAUCUUCGGCAAUGGACGAAAGUCUGACCGAGCAACGCCGCGGGAGUGAAGAAGGUUUUCGGAUCGUAAAACUCUGUUGUUAGAGAAGCGGUAUCUAACCAGAAAGCCACGGCUAACUACGUGCCAGCAGCCGCGGUAAUAC
rnacentral:rRNA from 1 species